UACAGAGGGUGCGAGCGUUAAUCGGAAUUACUGGGCGUAAAGCGCGCGUAGGCGGCUCUGCAAGUCGGGUGUGAAAUCCCCAGGCUUAACCUGGGAACUGCAUUCGAGACUGCAUUGCUAGAGUAUGGGAGAGGGAAGUGGAAUUUCCGGUGUAGCGGUGAAAUGCGUAGAUAUCUGGAGGAACACCGGUGGCGAAGGCGGCAUCCUGGACCGGCAUUGACGCUGAGGAGCGAAAGCCAGGGGAGCAAACGGG
rnacentral:rRNA from 1 species